GUAGCGUCUUCCGAAUGUGAGACGAAUGUCGAAUGUCGAAUAUGAAACUAACUUCACCUCGGUACGCUACUUAACGUAAAAAUAUGAGCGAAGUUGACUGGUCAUCAGACUGGACACAAAUACACAAGAAUAAUAACAAAACAUGUCUUAAUGCCAUGUUAAAUUGUUGUUUUAAACGUGACAGUCGUGGCAACUUAUUAGCAAGAUGUAGGCUAUAGCUACCUUACAGGCUAGCCUACUUUCGUUAGCUCGCUUGUCAUCACACGUCCUCCUAGCUAGUGUAGCCUAAAUGGUUUGCUGCUGGAGACCUCCGCUGGAAUAUAUAUUUGUUAAAUGAUAUAUUAGAGGAGACGUUGAACUAUGACACAUUACAGGUUAUGCUCCAGAAGAUGGAGACAUUGGAGGAGAACCAACGAGAGGUUCUCCUAUUCAGGCGACUACAGGGCAGACACUGAAGAGGUACCAGUGAUGGACCUACAGGUGGCCUAAACACAGGCUAAAAUCCAAGACUUUGAGGAGCACCUUAAGGUGCUGGAGUUCCGAACGAGAGUGAUGCUGUGAUGAAGUGGAAGACGGAACUGGGAGAGAAGGCUGUGGAGCUCCUCAUAGCGGAGACACUCAAACACG